rnacentral:lncRNA from 1 species
GCUGACUCUCUUUUCGGACUCAGCCCGCCUGCACCCAGGUGAAAUAAACAGCCAUGUUGCUCACACAAAGCCUGUUUGGUGGUCUCUUCACAGGGACACGGAUGAAAUUUGGUGCCGUGACUCGGAUCGGGGAACCUCCCUUAGGAGAUCAAUCCCCUGUACUCCUUUUCUUUGCCCUGUGAGAAAGAUCCACCUAUGACCUCAGGUCCUCAGACCGACCAGCCCAAGGAACAUCUCACCAAUUUUAAAUCAGACCUUGAAGAUUUGUUGUUCAAGGAGAAACUGAAGAGCAAGAAGGAAAGUGAGAGCCAGCAAUACCAGCAGAGCCAGAUCUGAGCUGGGAGAAGGGGAGAAAGUUUGUGAAGAGGAGAUCGGUGACCUGGGCUCCUUAUGUGCCUGAAAGAGUUUGAGUUUCCUGUUAACUCCAAAUCAACAGUAUUUUCAACAAGAAAUGUGCAAUUGAAAUCAAGUGCUGUUUAAGUGCAGCUAGGAUUUCCACAGGAAGACACUUGCAGUGAACAGAGUUAUGGAGCAGCAAAAACACAGAUCUAUUUGGAAAAAGAGAAAACAUAUGCGUUGUAUUUUGCUUCAAUUAUAAAAUACCAUCCUCUCAAAGGUGGUUCUAAAUUACAAAGGACUUUGAUUUCUAGGUAGAUUCUGGGUAGAGACUUCCUUUCAUAUUGAGGCAUUAAUGACACCUUUUAACCUGGGAAGCAAUAUGACUGGAGUUGUACUUUGAGAAGAUUAAUCAGGUUUGGUUGCAGAAUGAAAGAGAAGAUGAAGUCAAGAGAUUGGUUUAGAGGCUCUAGCAGAAGCUUAGUCAUAUUUCAAAAUGAUCAAAUAUCAAGAAAAAUUCUGAGCUGCAUAACUUGUAUAAAGUAAUUUUCAGUGAUUUUUUUCAUGGUUAUGAUAAAAGAACUGGAUUAGCAGAAACUUUUACCCUGAAUCAAGAUUUAAUUUUUCUUUGAGCUCAUCUUAAGGAUAUCGGAACAUAGGGAGCAAACGAUGGUGUGGCUGCCUCAGUGCUUGAUUUUUAACGGUUUUGAAGAGAAUAGUUACAUUUCUUCUCCUAGUAAGAACUAAUAAAUACAUUAACAGAAAUGAAUUCCCUAUCCCUUUGUACACUGGUCUAUUUCUUCAAAACAUUAAAUACUAUUGAUAAGAU